AGGCGCUCCUUUGGCUGUUCAUGAAGGGCCGGCAGCCCAGGGUCCAGACAGCGUUGAACACUGUGUCUGCGACGGAUUCACAAGCUGUGGAGAAGGAAAAGAUCAGGCAGGAAGGGAGUGCUGCUGCUCCUCCCCAGCCUUUCUCUGGACCCCUGGUGACUCAGUGGAAAAGAAUCCCAGAUAAGAGUUGGGAUGGCAGUGGAGAAGGAGGAGGACUGUGUGACAGGAGCUGCUCAGAGCUGUCCUGAGGACAGGGAGUGGUUUCUAGUCUUGGGACAGAAGUGUGUGUGGAGGGGGCAGAUGUCAGGGGUCUCACUCCUCCCUGACCCCUCUAUGACAAGCGCAGGACAGAUGUGCUGCUCCCUACAGCAGAUUUUUCUUCCUUUGGCAAGGUAAGGGCUCCCUGCCCACACCCUCCCCUCCCUGCCACUGCUUGCUCCCUCCACAGGGCAUGUGAGCUGGGGA